rnacentral:rRNA from 1 species
UACGUAGGGUGCGAGCGUUAAUCGGAAUUACUGGGCGUAAAGUGUGCGCAGGUGGCCGCGCAAGUCGAGUGUGAAAUCCCCGGGCUUAACCUGGGAACUGCGCUUGUAACUGGCAAGCUGGAGUGUGGCAGAGGGGGGUGGAAUUCCACGUGUAGCGGUGAAAUGCGUAGAGAUCGGGAGGAACACCAGUGGCGAAGGCGGCCAUCUGGCUCAACAUUGACGCUGAGGCACGAAAGCGUGGGGAGCAAACAGG